rnacentral:rRNA from 1 species
CCCUUAGAUGUUCUGGGCCGCACGCGUGCUACACUGAGUGGAUCAGCGGGUCAGGUUGCGCGAAAGCGUUUCCUAAUCUUUAAAUCCGCUCGUGAUGGGGAUUGACGGUUGCAAUUUUCUGUCAUGAACGAGGAAUACCUUGUAAGCGCGGGUCAUCAUCCCGCGCUGAAUACGUCCCUGCCCUUUGUACACACCGCCCGUCGCUCCUACCGAUUGAGUGGUCCGGUGAGGCUUUGGGAUCUGAGCGGAAAGAGCGUUUCGCUGUUUCUGCUCGGAAAACUCAGUCGAACCUUAUCAUUUAGAGGAAGGAGAAGUCGUGACA